rfam:Schistosoma margrebowiei strain Zambia genome assembly, scaffold: SMRZ_scaffold0001435
GCACUGCUGAGGAGUCCUAUACUAGGACGAAUCGGCCGUCCAGUGC